rnacentral:rRNA from 1 species
UACCAGCUCUCCGAGUGGUGUGGAUGUUUAUUGGGCCUAAAGCAUCCGUAGCUGGCUGGACAAGUCCCCUGUUAAAUCCACCGAUUUAAUCGUUGGAGUGCGGGGGAUACUGUUCGGCUAGGGGACGGGAGAGGCAGACGGUAUUUCCGGGGUAGGGGUGAAAUCCUAUAAUCCCGUGAAGACCACCAGUGGCGAAGGCUGUCUGCUAGAACGCGCCCGACGGCGAGGGAUGAAAGCUGGGGGAGCGAACCGGAUUAGAUACCCGGGUAGUCCCAGCUGUAAACGAUGCAGGCUAGGUGUUUGGACGGCCACGUGCCGUUCUAGUGCCGCAGGGAAGCCGUUAAGCCUGCCGCCUGGGGAGUACGGCCGCAAGGCUGAAAACUUAAAGGAAUUGGCGGGGGAGCACCACAAGGGGUGAAGCUUGCGGUUU